UGCCAAGGCCGCGUCCGCACAUGCUUAGGCUGAGCUAGUGGGUAGCACGUGCUUGGGAUAGUGAGAGGUGCUGGGUGCUGGGGUUGUGGGAGCUCUCCACGGGUGCGAGAACUGUGUGCCAGUUGAGAGAGGCGGCCGAGCGUGGCCGUGGGAGGAGACCGCGAUGUGGGGUCUGAGAUUGCGCCUAGGUGCGGAGGACGCGUGGUCCGGUCGGCGCUCUGUGCGCCCUGUCAUCAAUCCAGAUAUAUCGGCUCUGCUCUCGGCCCUGCAGGUCUGAGCGCUCCUCGGUGCCAGCGGGAAUGCCCUGUGUCAUCCAGGAGGCCCAGGCUGCGCCCCAUCCCCUGCGCCCUCCAGAGGACCGCAGGGCUGCGUCCGGAAGGCAGAUAUUUGGAUCUAGAGAGAGGACGCCUCCCCGUAGCCCCAGCUAUAAUGUCCAAAGCAUCAUCAGCUGUCACUUCUCAGGAGCCUGCGCUAGAAGAGUUACCCAGAAGAAAAGGGAAUAACUAAUUCAUUCUUAAAAGCCAGGCCCCAACUUCUGCCAAUUCCUCCACUGUUCCACCUGGAAAGCUGAUUCCAUGAGCACACCCAGGUUGGGGCACAGGAAACAGAACGCUACAGGAAAGGCCAGAGGAUGUUUUGGAGAAACAAGAUAACCUACUGCUAGACCUGAUAACCUUCGAGGAUGAGGCCGUGGAAUUCACCCAGUGGGAGUGGGGGCAGCUGGCCCCUGCACAGAAGCAUCUGUACAGAGACAUGAUGCUGAGAACCUGGGGCUUCCAGUAGCCAAGCUGUAUGUGAUCUGGCAGUAGGAGGAUGGGGAAGUGUUCCUGUGUGUCAGAGAGAGAAAUUUCAACGGGAGUCCACCCAGGUGACUUGGGAUGGCCUGGUGGCCUCCAUUUCUUGCAGCAGAAUUUUGCACUCCAAGCUUCAUUGACCGCCGCGUGUAGCACGAGCUUACUGCAGGGGAGUGGCAUUCUCUGUCAGUUGUCCAUCACAGAGGCAGAGCUAUAGUCUCAGCUCAGAGCUGAAGUUCAGGAAAGCAGCAUUCACAUCCUGAAAGGCUAGCCUGGGCUUCCACAGGGAGCCUGGAAUGCAGCACGGAGAGGGAUGUGCUGUCGCCUGGGUAUUGGUACUUUCUUGAUCAUUUUUCCUUCCAGAAUGAGAUCAAAGUGCUGAACCUGGAUCUAGCCUCAUGAUCAGUAUCUAUUUAUGUACUGUAGUCCGAAGCAUGGCUGUGGUUCAGGAUGUCCUAGGAGCUUUUUUAAAUACUUAGAGUCCCAGCCGGGUGUGGUGGCUCAUGCCUGUAAUCCCAGCACUCGAGAGGCUGAGGCAGGAGGAUCCUUGCAAGUUCGAGACCAGCCUAGGCUACAAAGUGACCUCAAAGUCAGCCUGAACUGCAUAGCGAGACCCUGUCUCAAAAAUACAAAAAAAAAAGAGAACAUGGCGGACAGAUAGCAACAGCCACAGAAGCUCUCUGAAAUUGCCAGCUUACAAUCUAGGAAUGAUGUGGUGUGAGGAGUCCUAAGCAAGGGGAGAUAUACCCUGCCAACCCAAGAACAAACUAAGCUGAGAGAACUGGAAAGGUAAUCCCGAUGCUAUAACAGGAACAGAUAAAAUCUCAGCGUGGAAGUUGGCACCCGCACAUCUGGAAGCUGUGAUUUGAAUUUCCUGCUGCCGCUGCUGUGUCCCAAUUGGCACAGCAGGGAGAGAGAGUGCGGGAAAGCUCUGAGAGUGGGAAUCAGCGAACCAAACGGAGUUGAGAGUGGGACUGGCGGGGAGCCCUGCAUUGACCUGUGGUGAGUGAGAAGAAUGGGGACCCUUCCAUAGACUAGGAGGUUCCAACAGAGGACAUUCUGGGACCGGGCAGACUAGCUGGAACAGGGCGCUGCAGUGACUUUAGUUGCAUAUUCCCCUCUCAAGCGGGCUUGGUGGGGAGCACUUGGCCUGGUGAUGCUGUAGACUAAGAUCCAGUAAGCUAGCCCAAACCAGGUCCCAGUGCCUGGAGGUGCACCCUAGCAGUGAAGCCUUCAGUCGGUUGACCUGGAGGGGCAGGCCCAGCAGAGGCUACCCAGGUCUGUGUCUCCCUAGUACACUGCAGUGGGCAAGAACACCUAGCCGGUGGAUUCAAACAAACUGUAACAGACAGAGAAAAAAAAAACUGGGCCUCCUAUAUACGCUUGUAUGGAAGGAACAAAAAGUAUGGGAAGAAAGAGCAAUAAGAAAGGGUCCUCAGUCCCCAAUCCCGAGAACACUGAUCCAGGAAAGUUAAAUGCAAAGGAGAAUGAAGACAGAAAACAUUCAAUAUCACACACAGCACCAUUAGACAUGAAAGUGGUAUCUCCGGAGCCUUAUAGACGAGUUCAAAAAUGAAGUAUUUAAUGAAAUAAAGCAAGAAAUUAGUAGAAUAGUUAGAGAAAUGCUAAGCACCACCCAAGAAAAAAACAGAUGGUGGAAUGGAAGAACAGAAAAAAAGGGGAGAAUUGUUUGAUGGAGAAAAUAGAGAAAACAUAGAAUACGUGAAGUAGGUUCAAAGAGAUUACCAGGAAACUAAAAACUCUAUUGAAAGCUGGCAUAACAACUUGAAAGAAACUAAGGAUAGAUUAUCUGAACUGGAGGACAGAUUUGUAAUGUGGGAGCAUGAAAUGAAAAGCUUCUUAAAAAUAACAAGAAAACAGCAAUAAUACAAAGGCUAGAAGAUGAUAAGAGGAUCUAUAACUUAAGAAUUAAGAACAUAAAAGAAGAAGUAGGGCCACAAACAAAAGAACUACAAAAGCUAUUCACAGAAAUAAUCUAGGAGAAUUUCCCUAAUUUAGCAAAAGAUAAAGAUACUCAGAUGUAUGAGGCAUACAGGACCCCAGCAACCUACAGCCCAAACAGAGCUACAUCCAGACAUAUAAUAAUCAAAAUUCCAGAAAUUCAAUAUAAGAACAGAAUAUUAAAAGCCGUCAGAGACAAGAAACAGGUCACUUACAAGGGAACACCCAUCAGAAUUACAGCAGACUUCUCGGCACAAACCAUCAAAUCACAAAGAGCAUGGGGGAAAUAAUUCAAGCUUUGAAAGAUAAUAACCUCCAGCCAAGAUUGGUAUAUCCUGCACAACUGUCCCUAGAAAUUGAUGGAAAAACAAGGUGCUUCCAGGAUAAAGAGGAACUAGGGGAAUUUGCAACCACCAAUUCGACUCUACAGAGAAUACUGCAGGGUAUUCUAAAAAAGGAAAAUACCAAGACUUCAGAAACAGUGGCAGAGAGGCCACAAUGAAUGGAGCAGAAAGUGAAAUGAAGAAGACAAACCAACAACUAAUGACAGAAAAAGAGCUCAACAGAAAUGAGGCAGAGAAGGUGGGAUGGUAGGAACAGCUAUUUUGGAGAAAACAAGACAUCAUAAUAGCUAGUGCUGAUUUAAUAUCAUCUUGUUUUGAAGUCCCAUCAAGCUUUUGAUCUUCUGUUUCCAUCGGUCUUAACAUGUUGUAUCUUAUUGGAUUUUAUUAUAUGUGAUAAUAUAAACAAAAACUUUUACAGACAAGGAGAUAAUACAGAAACCAUUGUUCAUUUUCUGUUAGUUGGUUCUAAAUACCCUGUAAUACUGUCAUUCUCUUGAAUGGUUUUACAUUGUCUUGAUAUGUUUGAUGCUACAGUAUAUGAAGUUAUCCUCAAAGAUUUCAAGGAAAGAGACACUAUGGUAACUACUUUUAUGUCAGGAUUAUGUUGUGGUGAAACACUACUUUGCUUACAUGAUUAUGUUUUGACCUGUGCUGUUUUGUUGUUAUGCCCUCUUUUAUCUCAAUCUCCUUUUUUUAUUAUUUACUUUUCAUUUUUAUCCUUUUAAGGGAAAAAUAAAUAAAAAACAGCAGGAUA